AGGAUUCCCCUAGUAACGGCGAGUGAACGGGGAAGAGCCCAACACCGAAUCCCUUGGCGCAAGCUAAUGGGAAAUGUGGUGUUAAGGUUGCCCUUCGUGCCAGUCUAAGCGUCUCAAGUCCACCUGAUUGUGGCUCAAGCCCAGAGAGGGUGUAAGGCCCGUAGAGACGCUCCGACUGGUUCCUGGGGUUUACCUACGAGUCGGCUUGUUUGGGAAUGCAGGCCAAAGCGGGUGGUAAACUCCAUCCAAGGCUAAAUACUGGCACGAGUCCGAUAGCGGACAAGUACCGUGAGGGAAAGUUGAAAAGAACUUUGAAGAGAGAGUUCAAUAGUACGUGAAACCGCUUAGAGGCAAACGGAUGGUGCUCAAACUGGCCCAGGGAAUUCAACCGUGUCGGCGGUUGGGCAGGCUAGCGUUGGAUCUCUCUUUUGAGACUAAUCGUUGGUCUGUUCCAGCUUCGACGCGGUGCACUUUCCCUGGUGCCUUCGCCACGACCGACGACACUGGCUACCCGCGGCUGGGGUAAGGUGACAUCCUGCUUCGGCAGUUUGUGUUAUAGACCCCGGCGUCGGACUUGUUUGGCCAGGACGUCGAGCUAGCGGCGCCCGCUCCUUGUGGGCUCGUAUGUUGGUUAGCUUGGCUGUGCCGAUGCUUGUACUGGUUAACCAGUGCAGGCGACGGUUGCGGUCUUGUCUGGCCAGCCUCUGCGAGUUUGGCGCCUAUAGUCUGUGGUGUCUUUGUGGGUAGACUAUCCGACCCGUCUUGAAACACGGACCAAGGAGUCUAACAUGUGCGCGAGUCAUGGGGAUUCUACGAAACCCAAAGGCGCAGUGAAAGUAAAGGCUUGCUUCUCGCAGGCUGAGGUGGGAUCUCGUGCAUCGCGAUUGGCGAGCGCACCACCGGCCCGUCCUAUCAGUCUCUGUCUGUGGGGCGGCGCAAGAGCGUACACGUUGGGACCCGAAAGAUGGUGAACUAUGCUUGCGCAGCUCGAAGUCAGUGGAAACACUGAUGGAGGAGCGCAGCGUUUCUGACGUGCAAAUCGAUCGUCAAACGUGAGUAUAGGGGCGAAAGACUAAUCGA
rnacentral:rRNA from 1 species